rnacentral:rRNA from 1 species
GCCAGACUCCUACGGGAGGCAGCAGUGGGGGAUAUUGCACAAUGGGGGGAACCCUGAUGCAGCGACGCCGCGUGGGUGAAGGAGUGCUUCGGCAUGUAAAGCCCUAUCGGCAGGGAAGAAGCAAGAUGGUACCUGACUAAGAAGCCCCGGCUAACUACGUGCCAGCAGCCGCGGUAAUACGUAGGGGGCAAGCGUUAUCCGGAUUUACUGGGUGUAAAGGGAGCGUAGACGGCAUGGCAAGUCUGAAGUGAAAGCCCGGGGCUCAACCGCGGGACUGCUUUGGAAACUGUUAAGCUGGAGUGCAGGAGAGGUAAGUGGAAUUCCUAGUGUAGCGGUGAAAUGCGUAGAUAUUAGGAGGAACACCAGUGGCGAAGGCGGCUUACUGGACUGUAACUGACGUUGAGGCUCGAAAGCGUGGGGAGCAAACAGGAUUAGAUACCCUAGUAGCA